AUUGAACGCUGGCGGCAUGCCUUACACAUGCAAGUCGAACGGCAGCACGGGUGCUUGCACCUGGUGGCGAGUGGCGAACGGGUGAGUAAUACAUCGGAACAUGUCCUGUAGUGGGGGAUAGCCCGGCGAAAGCCGGAUUAAUACCGCAUACGAUCUACGGAUGAAAGCGGGGGACCUUCGGGCCUCGCGCUAUAGGGUUGGCCGAUGGCUGAUUAGCUAGUUGGUGGGGUAAAGGCCUACCAAGGCGACGAUCAGUAGCUGGUCUGAGAGGACGACCAGCCACACUGGGACUGAGACACGGCCCAGACACCUACGGGAGGCAGCAGUGGGGAAUUUUGGACAAUGGGCGAAAGCCUGAUCCAGCAAUGCCGCGUGCGUGAAGAAGGCCUUCGGGUUGUAAAGCACUUUUGUCCGGAAAGAAAUCCUUGGCCCUAAUACGGUCGGGGGAUGACGGUACCGGAAGAAUAAGCACCGGCUAACUACGUG
rnacentral:rRNA from 1 species